UACGGAGGGUGCAAGCGUUAUCCGGAUUCACUGGGUUUAAAGGGUGCGUAGGCGGAUUUGUAAGUCAGUGGUGAAAUACUCCAGCUUAACUGGAGGGGUGCCAUUGAUACUGCGGAGCUUGAGUACAGAUGAGGUAGGCGGAAUUGACGGUGUAGCGGUGAAAUGCAUAGAUAUCGUCAAGAACACCGAUAGCGAAGGCAGCUUACUAGACUGUAACUGACGCUGAUGCACGAAAGUGUGGGGAUCAAACAGG
rnacentral:rRNA from 1 species